AAUCGUAUUAUUCAAAACCUAAUCUUCUCCACCCCACAAACAAUCUUCUCCACCGUUGUCUCCCACGUCACUAACACACAAAACCCUAAUUUCUCUUUUCACCAUACGCAUCGUCGAUCCAGCAGUUCAUACACGUCUACAGCAAUGCUUCACAAAUGAUUCAAGUCCGCCAAAUGGUGAGCACUUGAUGGGAAAAGAGACAAUAUAAGAUUUUGGACAAAAUUGCUACUCACGUGUUCCUGAGCUGCUUAUAAGCGUAUGUGCAUACCAUAACGCAAGACGGAUGUUGUACAUAAACACAACCGAAACACUCGAAGAACGACACAAAUUCAAAAUCUAAAGAGGGAAAAUGUGGAUCGAAGAACGACAAAAAAUCAAGUUUUUAGGUGAUGGUGGAUCUUAAUACAAGGAGGUUAAAUUUACAAGUUGUAAAUAUUAAAGUUGACAGUAUAGGAGCACUGAAAGUUUAAUAUACCAUUAUUUUUGUCGAUGUUUGGAAUGUGAAUAACCAGGAGCCAAAUUUGAUAAAAAUGACGGGAAGCCUAAAGUUGGUAGGUGUACUCCCCAUGGGAUUAUUUUGUUUAGAAGGUAUUUUUUUUUUGUUAGUUAUUCUUAUAAAUUAAUCAUUUUUAAUUGAAUUUCAUAUGGGAAGGGGAUGCGGCAACUGAGCAACAAACGAGCUAAGACUCUCAAUUCAUAUAUAUGUUAGAGUCGAAGCGUGUUCAUUAAAAAAAGUUACAACGGGUCAUUUCCUAAUGCAAAAAUGGAAAACUAUUGCUCGACAUGUUUAAGAUCAAAACAUGUCAACGUUUUUUAUAUUUAUCUGGAUUAUAUUUGUAGUUUCAUUUUUGUCGUUAGACUUAUGUAAUAUAUUUAACUUUAUGUUAUACACCUUUUCUUUUAGUUUCAAUCAAGACCCUUAAAAUGUCAUAGUAUUGUUAUGUGUUAAAACCUUGUGUUACUUAUAUUAGAUAAUGAUGGCAAUUUUAAAAACAAGACAACCAAUGUGGAGUAUAAGGACUUUUUUAGUGAAAUUUGAAUCAUUGGUUGUAUUUUUUUACCUAUCAUGUGUGUUUUUAAGUGUAUUUUAUUUAUAUUAAAUUUAUUUCCAUUUAAUCUUAAUUUAAUUUAGACAAAUUUAAAAUAUUUUCAUUUGUUAAACCGCGUGUAUACGCGGGCUCUAACCUAGUUAUAUUAUAUUUUGUAACCCAUCUUUAAAUUGACACAAAACUCAUUGGUCAAUUACCCAUCUUUAAUAAUUAAGCCCUACCCAUUAGGCCAUUACCCUUACCCCUAAGCCCACCCAAAGCCCAUUUCAACCCAUUGCCAGCAGUAGAGUUCAACUCAAAUAACCGUUGUUGCUGCCUGGCGUUGCUUCUCCGGCGACAUCUGCUCCUCUGGAUACUGUCCCGAAAUAACCCCAAUUUUAGAGGCAGGCAGACAGGUUUUAAAAGCCAGUUGGAAGGAAGUGGUAACAAAAUGAUGCAUAUACUGAAUAAUAAAAGUUAUAUGUCAUAUGUGCUUGUGCCUGUGAGAGGUGGUGAGUCUUUUAAGGUUGUUUUUGCAAUAAUGUAUGUCAGAUUUUGAUAUUUGUCUUGGAGAUCAAAUGUUGGCUUAGACAGACAAAGACAAAUAUGUGUGCUCUCUCUCUCUCUCUGUGUUUUCUCUGUGUUAUUUGGAUAACGCCAACCAACCAAUUAUUAUUUUUA